GAUGAACGCUGGCGGCGUGCCUAAUACAUGCAAGUCGAACGGAAAGGCCCUGCUCUUGUUGGGUGCUCGAUUGGCGAACGGGUGAGUAACACAUGAGUAACCUGCCCCUGACUUUGGGAUAACAUCACGAAACUGGGGCUCAUACCGGAUAUGAGCUCCUGCUGCAUGGUGGUUGAUGGUAAGUUUCGGCCGUUGGGGAUGGACUCGCGGGUUCUCAGCUUGUUUGUGGGGUAGUGACUUACCAAGGCUUUGACGGGUAGCCGGCCUGAGAGGGGGACCGGCGACAAUGGGACUAAGAUACGGCCCAGAAGCCGAAGGGAAGCAGCGGUGGGGAAUAUUGCACAAUGGGCGGAAGCCUGAGGGAACGACGACGGGUGCGUGAAGACGGCCUUGGGGUUGUAAACCGAUUUCGCCGGUGACGAGGAGUGAGUGACGGUAAUGAAUAAAGAAGCACCGGCUAACUACGUG
rnacentral:rRNA from 1 species